rnacentral:rRNA from 1 species
CCUACGGGUGUCAGCAGUGAGGAAUAUUGGUCAAUGGGCGCGAGCCUGAACCAGCCAAGUAGCGUGAAGGAUGACUGCCCUAAGGGUUGUAAACUUCUUUUAUAAAGUAAUAAAGUGAGGCACGUGUUCCUGUUUGUAUGUACUUUAUUAGUAAGGCUCGGCUAACUCCGUGCCAGCAGCCGCGGUAAUACUGAGGAUCCGAGCUUUAUCCGGAUUUAUUGGGUUUAAAGGGAGCGUAGAUGGUGUGUUAAGUCAGUUGUGAAAGUUUGCGGCUCAACCGUAAAAUUGCAAUUGAUACUGGCAGUCUGGAGUACAGUUGAGGUAGGCGGAAUUCGCGGUGUAGCGGUGAAAUGCUUAGAUAUCA